AUUCGAUAUUUCGUAAUCGGCUCGCGACGUUAACUUAGCCCAACGUAACCUGUACUUCUUUGAGCUAAGAAAUAGUUGGUCACAUUAAUCAUACCGCAGCCCGAAGAUGUAUACGCGCUUUCCCGACGUCUCCAGUAUGAUGCACUCUCACAGAAACAGGGCUCCCUACUGUGGAAGAGAGAACCAAACAAAACACUUUAAAGCUAAUCCAUAAACUUUUUCAAUGCAAGAACGCAGUUGUAUUCGAUGCAGCCAGCUCAGUGGUUAGAAGCAAAAAUGUAUUGUGUCGCACAUCAACCAUAACAAGGUGCAUAGAUGCAGCGAAGAAUAUAGGAAUGCCCACUAAACCGGUCAAGAUUAAUAUCAACUAUCCUCCGCCCUGGAUGAACUUAGAGUCGUCUAUUAUCCUCGAGAUCAGCAAAAGAAACAAGAGCAGUACACCACCAUCAGUCUAUAGACAAAUAUUCAAACAGCUCGCAGCAAGUUUCGAAGAUCAGGGAUGGAAAUUCAUCUAUACCGAUGGAACAAAGGUCCACUCCACCACAGCUUUCGCUGUUGUAAACGCAAAUCACGAGACAAUCACAGCUGGUCAUUUACUAUCCUUCUGCUCAGUAUACACUGCUGAAGCCAACGCUAUACUCUGAGCAACGCAAUAUGCCCUCGGUACCAAGGAGAAAUACAUAAUUUCAGUCAACUUAUCGGCUAUACAAUCUAUCCUUAAUAUGUCUAAUAUGGAUAACCUGACCAGAUUAAUACGCAAUGCACUUUACAAAGGAGGAAAAUCAAUAAAAAUUAUGUGGGUUCCAAGCCAUGUUUUAAUCCCUGGCAACGAAGCAGCUGACGAAAGAGUAAAGCUUGCAGCUAAAGAACCCCUUAUUGUGGAGAAUGCCUUUUCGAAAAAAGACAUCUACAGGCUGGCAAGUGAACAAAUAUACAAAACUAAGCUGGAAAAAUGGAAGGAUUUCAAGCACCACUACGCAAACGUUAACGUAAAUGGCGAGAAACCUAUAUUUCCGGAGAAGAUCAGCAGCAACAAUUUAAAAGCGUUUAUUAGACUACGUAUUGGACAUACGAUUGUUACCCAUGAAUCUGUCCUGAAAGGUUCGAGGUCGCCACAGUGCCCCUAUUGCAACGUGGAAACAAUCACCGUAACUCAUCUCCUCGACAGAUGUCAGCAUUUCGCUACAAUCAGAGCUAGCAUCUUCAACAACUUUGCAUCCAAGUUAUUGAAAAACCAGGACAUUGAAUCGAUAUCUAAUAUUAAUGAAUUCCUUAGGUUAACGAAUCUUAAGAAAUUAAUCUAGUCUUAAUUAUCUGUAAGAAGCAAUUUAGGUUAAUGUAAGUACUGAACAUAUGUAUAUAUAUAUUAAUGAGCGAGCCGAAGGUGAUCAUACUAGCGCUCCUUUUUCCGAAAAAAUAACCCUCAUUCGUUCAACUCCGGCUACGUACAAAAUCCAUAACGUAUGCAUGUGCGUAGAGAUGAGCAGACUUCCGAGCCCAGUUUAGUGGGGCGCAGGACUAGAUCAAACCAAACCAAAAAAUUCUCAGUUAUUAUCCAAUCAACAGCCUCUGAGAAAUUUUCAACCAGAGCAGUCGGCGGAGGAUCAACCACUACAUUUGGU